rnacentral:rRNA from 1 species
GUAGGUGGCAAGCGUUGUCCGGAAUUAUUGGGCGUAAAGCGCGCGCAGGUGGUUCUUUAAGUCUGAUGUGAAAGCCCCCGGGCUCAACCGGGGAGGGUCAUUGGAAACUGGGGAACUUGAGUGCAGGAGAGGAAAGUGGGAUUCCACGUGUAGCGGUGAAAUGCGUAGAUAUGUGGAGGAACACCAGUGGCGAAGGCGACUUUCUGGCCUGUAACUGACACUGAGGCGCGAAAGCGUGGGGAGCAAACAGGAUUAGAUACCCUGGUAGUCCACGCCGUAAACGAUGAGUGCUAAGUGUUGGGGGGUUUCCGCCCCUCAGUGCUGCAGCUAACGCAUUAAGCACUCCGCCUGGGGAGUACGGUCGCAAAGACUG